rnacentral:rRNA from 1 species
UACGUAGGGCGCAAGCGUUAUCCGGAAUUAUUGGGCGUAAAAGAGCUCGUAGGCGGUUUUGUCGCGUCUGCCGUGAAAGUCCGGGGCUCAACUCCGGAUCUGCGGUGGGUACGGGGCAGACUAGAGUGAUGUAGGGGGAGACUGGAAUUCCUGGUGUAGCGGUGAAAAUGCGCAGAUAUCAGGAGGAACACCGGUGGCGAAGGCGGGGUCUCUGGGGCCGAUACUGACGUGAGGAGCGAAAAGCGUGGGGGGAGCGAAACAGG